UUGGCCGAGACAUUCACCAAUCCUAAAUACAUUCCUAACCUUUCCAUAUAUCCAUACACAUCCUAGACACUUAUGCCGCAACAAAGAGAAGAAUGAGGAGCCUUGGACGUGCUUGCCAUUCAAGUUGGAUUGUUGGAGCGUUUUUAGGUGUUUUCAUUCUUUUAUUUUCAAUGUCUAAAUUUGUUUAUCUUUGCUUUGUGAGUAUGAGGAACUAAACCCCUCUUAGCUAGGGGGGGAAUUCAAAGCCAUGAACAUUCUUGCAAUAUGAAUUGAUUACCUUCAGUUGUGAUUUCAUAAGUUGUGAAUUCAAUUUUUUUAACUGCUUGAUUGAUAACUUAUUCGUAUAUGUUUGUUAAGAGUGCACACUUAGUUUGCAUGCAUGAAUAUGAUGCUAGAGUAUAAGGGAGUUUCACCUAAUAGUUACAAACUUAUAUUCACAGGUAGUGGAGGUCGCUUAUAAACGAUCGCGUUAAAUGAAUUCUUGGGAAGAGUUUCAUGCUCAUCAUAGUAACGAAUGCCUCGUCAGUACUUAUAGUUUUCAUAAUGCUUAAUGAUCUUUGAUUGUAUCUUUAUUGUGCUGUUCACAAAAAGGACUUUUGAAGAAUGCUUGAAUUGUUGUAUGCGCUUUCCCAUCCAAUUCAAUAACUUAAGGAGAACUUGAAUGUUAAUUUAAGCGGACUUAAUUAACCUGGGGUGUUGAGUUUCAUGAUUUAUCGAAAGAACAACUGAAAAUUGGUUUAUGUGCAAGUGUGCCCUGUGUGGAGAAGAACCCUCUAGUUAGCCCAUCAUCCAUAGUUUACCCAAAUUCGUCCAAAAUCUGUUUUAGUUUACAAUCUAUUUGUUUUGUUUUCAAAUUCGUAAAAAUCAAAUCCCCCUUUACUUUAAAGUGUUUUAUUAGUCAAAAUAUGUUUUGAUUUGUGUUUUUAAGU
rnacentral:lncRNA from 1 species